rnacentral:rRNA from 1 species
CCUACGGGUGGCAGCAGUGGGGAAUAUUGGACAAUGGGCGAAAGCCUGAUCCAGCCAUGCCGCGUGUGUGAAGAAGGCCUUCGGGUUGUAAAGCACUUUCAGUGGGGAAGAAAGCCUUGGGCUAAUACCCUCGAGGAAGGACAUCACCCACAGAAGAAGCACCGGCUAACUCCGUGCCAGCAGCCGCGGUAAUACGGAGGGUGCGAGCGUUAAUCGGAAUUACUGGGCGUAAAGCGCGCGUAGGCGGUCUGAUAAGCCGGUUGUGAAAGCCCCGGGCUCAACCUGGGAACGGCAUCCGGAACUGUCAGGCUAGAGUGCAGGAGAGGAAGGUAGAAUUCCCGGUGUAGCGGUGAAAUGCGUAGAGAUCGGGAGGAAUACCAGUGGCGAAGGCGGCCUUCUGGACUGACACUGACGCUGAGGUGCGAAAGCGUGGGUAGCAAACAGGAUUAGAUACCCUGGUAGUC